CCCUUAGACGUUCUGGGCCGCACGCGCGCUACACUGACCAGUGCAACAAGCAUCCGUCCUUGGCCGACAGGCCCGGGCAAUCUUUGAACGCUGGUCGUGAUGGGGAUAGACUUUUGCAAUUUUUGGUCUUCAACGAGGAAUUCCUAGUAAACGCAAGUCAUCAACUUGCAUUGAUUACGUCCCUGCCCUUUGUACACACCGCCCGUCGCACCUACCGAUUGGAUGGUCCGGUGAAAUCUUCGGAUAGCUGGUAGUUGGCUUGCCAUCUGCUGCUAAAAGUUGCUUAAACCUUAUCAUCUAGAGGAACAAGAAGUCGUAACA
rnacentral:rRNA from 1 species